UUACCUCGGGUUAAGAACUUUGAUUCAGGAUGAGAACAGAAAUCAUGCGGUGGCGGUGCAGCGGCAGCCGGAGGCCCCAUUAGCUAAAGUGGUACCUCAGGUUAAGAACAGUUUCAGUUUAAGAACAGACCUCCGGAACAAAUUAAGUUCUUAACCCGAGUUACCACUGUACCUGGAAUGUUAAGUCUUAUGGUUUGGCUGGAAGGCUGUAAUGCAGCACUGGAUUUAGGGUGGAGCGGGUGGUUCCUCUGCACAGGGUGCUGAGCCGAGGGGGUGCAAAAUCGAGAAGAUUCAUAAUUGAGAAGAUUCAUUUGGGGAUGCCAAAAUUUUGGCCUCUUACAGGGCACCGAAAGAUUACCAAAGUCUGUCCCUGCUGCAAUGACUGGGGUAGAAAUAUCUGGGAAAAGUGGGAACUGAUUCACCAGAAAUGUUCAUGGGAUAGUGAUUUGAACAAGCUGUUAAGUCCUGCAGCUGUUCUGCGCCUGACACAUCUUGGGAAAUGACAUUAGACGUUUCCAUCUCUGUGCAAAGCCACCUGUUCCCUCCACCCCCGAUCUCUCUGCAUUAGCUGUUUUUCUCUCUGUUUUUCUAACCAUAUUAUAUUUAAUAAAGUUAUCUUUCACAUAA